rnacentral:rRNA from 1 species
CGGCUCAGCAAGUCGGCCGUGAAAGCCUGAGGCUCAACCUCAGGACGCCGGUCGAAACUGCUGUGGCUAGGGUCCGGUAGAGGAGAGUGGAAUUCCCGGUGUAGCGGUGAAAUGCGCAGAUAUCGGGAGGAACACCAGUAGCGAAGGCGGCUCUCUGGGCCGGUACCGACGCUGAGGAGCGAAAGCUAGGGGAGCAAACAGGAUUAGAUACCCUGGUAGUCCUAGCCGUAAACGUUGGGCACUAGGUGUGGCGGAUUCAUUGACAUCUGCCGUGCCGAAGCUAACGCAUUAAGUGCCCCGCCUGGGGAGUACGGUCGCAAGGCUAAAACUCAAAGGAAUUGACGGGAGCCCGCACAAGCGGCGGAGCAUGCGGCUUAAUUCGAUGGUACCCGAAGAACCUUACCUGGACUUGACAUAAUGGGAAAAACUGUAGAGAUACAGUGUGCGUAAGCGUCCAUUACAGGUGGUGCAUGGCUGUCGUCAGCUCGUGUCGUGAGAUGUUGGGUUAAGUCCCGCAACGAGCGCAACCCCUGUCCUAUGUUGCCAGCGGAUAAUGCCGGGGACUCAUGGGAGACUGCCGGGGACAACUCGGAGGAAGGCGGGGACGACGUCAAGUCAUCAUGCCCCUUAUGUCCAGGGCUGCACGCAUGCUACAAUGGCAGGUACAACGGGCAGCGAUCCCGCGAGGGUUAGCGAAUCCCCAAAGCCUGUCUCAGUUCGGAUCGGAGUCUGCAACUCGACUCCGUGAAGUCGGAGUCGCUAGUAAUCGCGAAUCAGCAAUGUCGCGGUGAAUACGUUCUCGGGCUUUGUACACACCGCCCGUCACAUCACGAAAGUUGGCAACACCCGAAGUCAGUGGCCCAACCGCAAGGAGGGAGCUGCCGAAGGUGGGGUCAGCGAUUGGGAUGAAGUCGUAACAAGGUA